rnacentral:lncRNA from 1 species
GGUGAGUUGCCGCCAACCGCCCUAACGGCCGAAACAAUGUUAAUGGCUUUCAGAGUCUGGCGGCGCGUUCCCAUUAUCAUCUUCCUGUGACCCUUCCUCAUUUUACACGGAGGAGGUGGUCUCCACAGUGAUUUUAAAUUUAAUAUUUCUCUCAUAACCUUUGUGAGAUAAAAGAAUCUUCAUCCUUUUAACUUUGACGAGGGAUGAAAUGAAGGUGAAAAGAGGAUUUAGUAAUAUGUAAAAUAAGGGUGGUUUUGCUGUAAAAAUAUGAUAGGGCCGCAAUUCAGAAAUGUUUUCAAGCAUCUGGGGCAUUGCUAUGGUUACAACUACAGGCCUACGAAGUCAGGUGCGAGAACUGCUUGGAGUCCUGGUGAGGACGGCCCCUCCUCGCCAUCCGGCCACAUCCCCUCUAAUGCCUGGAAAUGUCCAGCAUUUAUUUUGAAUAUAUCCCUACAGUUGCGAAAAAUUGUAGAUGGAAAACCACGUUUAAGAUUUUUUAUAAGUUUUUUUUUUUCAAAUCUUAAGGAUAAGAUUGCAUAAAUUUGAAAAGUGUGCCUACCGGAGAACACACCAAAAAUCAUCACUGCUCACUACGGAUAGUUGUUGCUCAGAAAUUCAUUUAGAAUUUCAUCCUCGCUUUAGCUUUUACCUGGGGUUCUUUUAAGUAUUUAUUUAGAGACGGGCGGGGCGGGGCUCGGUGUCUCAGGCCGGUAAUCCCAGAGCUUUGGGAGGCCGAGGCGGGAGGAUUGCAUGAGGCCAGGAGUUCCAGAUCAGCGUUGGUAACAUAGUGAGCCUCUGUCCCUACAAAAGUAUUUUUUAAAUUAUCUGGGUGUCGUGACACGCGCCUGUAGUCCCA